rnacentral:rRNA from 1 species
UACGUAGGGGCAAGCGUUGUCCGGAUUAUUGGCGUAAAGAGCGUGUAGGCGGCUUGGCAAGUCCGUUGUGAAAACUCGAGGCUCAACCUCGAGACGUCGAUGGAAACCGCCUCGCUAGAGUCCGGAAGAGGAGAGUGGAAGUUCCUGGUGUAGCGGUGAAAUGCGCAGAUAUCAGGAGGAACACCGGUGGCGAAGGCGGUUCUCUGGGCAUGUCCUGACGCUGAGGAGCGAAAGUGUGGGGAGCGAACAGG